AUGUAUGUACUGCAGUGUGAAUCUAAGGUUGCGAAUGUGCAAAAUGUCCCGACCCAUGAUAUGUGUAUUCAUCUCCUGCACAGGCGUCUGGCUCAUGCUAGCUAUAAGGUGCUAAACAAAACAUUGGAGUUGUGUGGGGGGAUGAAGAACAUAAAAAGUUGUGAUAAUUACUUAGACUGCAAUAUCUGCAAGGAGGUUAAAAGCAGGGCUUGCCCAGUAGCAAGAGCAAGCCAGAGAGAAACCAAAAAACCACUGGAGUUGAUUCAUGCUGAUGUAACUGGUCCUUUUCCACCAAGUGUCUCCCACAACAAGUACUGUUUGAUCCUAGUGGAUGAUUUUUCUAGAUUUGGCUGGGUCUAUCCAUUAAAGCAAAAGUCUGACGUUGCCCAAACUUUGAAGUUCUGGGUAAGAAGGGUAGAAAGGCAACUUGGUGAAAAGGUGUCCUCUAUUCAAUCAGACAGGGGAGGGGAGUUUAUGGCAAGCUCCCUAAGAAACUGGUUGCGUACCCAAGGGAUUAAACAUAGGCUUACCAAUGUGGCCACGCCUCAGGAGAACGGAGUAGCAGAGCGUAGGGGAGGUGUCUUGCAGACACAAAUGAAAGCAUUGUUAGCAGAUGCAAAUCUUCCAAUUAAGUACUGGGCUGAAAGUAUUAAGACCGCGAAUUAUAUUGGGAAUCGCUUGUGGUCAAGGGUACUAGAUGACAUACCCUAUAAAGUUCUCUAUAACAAAAGUCCCAGUUUGCAACAUUUGAGAAUCUUUGGGACAAAGGCAUGGGUUGACAUACCUGUGAAAAACCGAAGAAAAGGUGGGAAAAGGGCACAGCAGUUGCUAUUUCUUGGGUAUGAAAGUGGUACGAAAGCCUACAGGUUUGAAGAUGAUAAAAACCUUUUGAGUUAUAGUCGAUCAGCCAGCUUUAAUGAGCAAAGAAAUUGGCCCAAGAUACAUGCAAACCUGCUGCCAGAAAAGGUUUUACUGCCGAGCGUACCUGAUAAGGCAGUUGAAACAAAGCUAAGAACUGGCAGCUCUCCCAGAGAAACUGAAAGGGAGGAAGUAAAGGUUGAGCAUUUUUCUCCAGCUGCUAGCAUGGAGCAGGGGAGAGAAGAAAGUGCAACAGGGACAGGAGGAGGUAAAUCUCCAGAGUCAAUCCACCCCAAAAGCAGUCCUGAAGGUAGCCCAGGGGGUGAGAUUAAUGAACCAAGGAGGUCUGCAAGAAGUAAUAAAGGUCAACCUCCAGACCGUUAUGGGUUCCCAGCCACCAUAAACCAGGUUUGUGUAACUGAGCCAGAAAACUUUGAAGAAGUGCAAGAGUUACCUACUCUAGAGAAAGAGGCGUGGUUAAAGGCAAUGCAGGCAGAAUAUAACUCUCUGCUAAACAACAAUGUGUUUGUACCUACAGAAUUGCCUGAAGGUAAAAAGCCCAUAAGCUGUAAGUGGGUUUUUAAAGUGAAAAAGCUGGCUGAUGGUAGUUGUCAGAGGAAAGCCAGGUUGGUUGCACGGGGCUUUACACAGAGGAAAAUGAUACAUUAUGAUGAAGUGUUUGCCCCAACAGCAAAGGCUGAAACAGUAAAAUCAGUUUUAGCAAUGGCAAGUCUGAGAGGGUUAAAAGUUAAUCAUUUUGAUGUUGCCUCAGCAUAUUUAAAUGCUCCUAUUGACGCUGAGGUAUAUUUACAGCAAAUACCAGGUUAUGAGCUAGAAAAAGACAGCAUGGUGUUAAAACUGCAAAGGGCACUAUACGGUUUACACCAAAGUGCACGUCUAUGGCAUGAAUGCAUAGACACAACUUUGAAAAAGAUGGGAUUCAAACAAAGCCUGGCUGAUUCCUGUUUAUAUUCAGCAAUGGUGCAAGGAAGUGUUUGUUAUUUACUUUUGUAUGUUGAUGAUAUCUGUCUAAUAACAACUGCACAAAAGCAAGUGUCUUGGUUUAUAAACAGCCUAGGUAACAAAUACAAACUGAAGUAUUUGGGAGAGAUUAAGAAUUACUUAGGAGUAGAGGUUCAGAGAAAUGAAGAGGGCGUUUACUCUCUGAGUCAGAAGGAAAAAAUCGAAAAGUUACUGAAGACAUAUGGAAUGGAGAGGGCAAAUGAGGUUGACACUCCCAUAACUACCCAGUACAAACAUGAACCAGAAGGGCAAAAAUGUGAGAAUGCAACAGCGUUUCAUUCUCUGUUGGGUUCUCUGUUAUAUUUAAGUUGUUGGACAAGACCCGACAUAACAUUGGCAGUGCACAUGUUAAGCCAAAGAAGUGCAGACCCGGCUCAGAGAGAUUGGGUAGCACUUAAAAGAAUCCUAAGGUAUCUGAAAGGCACAAAAGAUUACAAACUGGUGCUGGAUACAGGAUAUGAUCAGCAAGUGUAUGCAUACGCUGAUGCCAGCUGGGGAGACAGAGAAAAUGGAAAGUCUACCACUGGCUAUGCCAUAUAUAUUGGAAAUGCCCUGGUUCAGUGGAAAUCCCAGAAACAAACAUUUGUUGCCACAAGUACUUGUGAAGCAGAGUACUCAGCCAUAAGCGAAUGUGUAUCACAAAUAGAGUGGUUUGCUUGCCUAACAAAAGAGCUUGGAAUACCUUCUGAAAUGCCAAUCACUGUGCUAAGUGACAACAUGGCUGCACAACAGCUUGCUAACCAACAGAACUUUAAGAGCAAGAGUAAACAUAUUGCGAUAAGAUACGGAAAUGUGAAAAAUGCUUUGGAAAGAAAUGUGUUAAAGGUACAGCACUGUAACACAAAAUGUAAUGUGGCAGAUUUGUAUACAAAAUGUUUGGAUGCUCCUAAAUUUCGAGACUUAAGAGAAUUAUUGGGUCUCAAGCCUUUGACUUAA
rnacentral:lncRNA from 1 species